GACGAACGCUGGCGGCGUGCUUAACACAUGCAAGUCGAACGGUGAAGCGCUUGCCUUUUUGGUGGGUGUGGAUGAGUGGCGAACGGGUGGGUAACACGUGAGUAACCUGCCCUCUUCUUCUGGAUAACCUCAUGAAAGUGGGGCUAAUACGGGGUAUUCCGGGUCUGUCGCAUGGCGGGUUUGGGAAAGAUUGCGCCUUUGGGUGUUUUCGGUGGGGGAUGGGCUCGCGGCCUAUCAGCUUGUUGGUGGGGUGAUGGCCUACCAAGGCGGUGACGGGUAGCCGGCCUGAGAGGGUGGACGGCCACACUGGGACUGAGACACGGCCCAGACUCCUGCGGGAGGCAGCAGUGGGGAAUAUUGCACAAUGGGCGCAAGCCUGAUGCAGCGACGCCGCGUGAGGGAUGGAGGCCUUCGGGUUGUGAACCUCUUUCGCCAGUGAAGCAGGCCUGCCUCGUUUGUGGGUGGGUUGACGGUAGCUGGAUAAGAAGCGCCGGCUAACUACGUG
rnacentral:rRNA from 1 species